UUUCAACUUGGGUGUUUGUCCCCUUCAAAUCUCAUGUUGAAAAGUAAUCACCAAUGGUGGAUAUGGAGCCUGGUGGGAGGUAUUUGAGUCAUGGUGACAGAUUCCCUCAUGAAUGGCUUAGUGCUGUCCUCACAAUGAGUGAGUUCUCACACUAUUAGUUCAUGUAAGAUCUGGCUGUUUAAAGGAACCUGGCACCUUGUUCCUCUCAUGCACACCAGCUCCCUGUUUGCUUCCCACCAUGACUGGAAGCUUCCUGAGGUCUCACCAGGAGCAGAUGCCAGCACCAUGCUUCUUGUACAACAUGCAAUUCCAAGAGGAUUUCUAAUGAACUGUUCUUACAGUCUUAUGAAAAUAUGUUCUCCAAAUCUAAGGAAGAAGAAAACUUGA
rnacentral:lncRNA from 13 species